rnacentral:rRNA from 1 species
GACGUAGGGCGCGAGCGUUGUCCGGAUUUACUGGGCGUAAAGAGCGCGCAGGCGGUCGUUCAAGUCGCGUGUGAAAGCCCCCGGCUCAACUGGGGAGGGUCACGCGAUACUGAUCGACUCGAAGGCAGGAGAGGGUAGUGGAAUUCCCGGUGGAGUGGUGAAAUGCGUAGAUAUCGGGAGGAACACCAGUGGCGAAGGCGACUACCUGGCCUGUUCUUGACGCUGAGGCGCGAAAGCUAGGGGAGCAAACGGG